UUUAGGAGAAUUUCAUGGUUUGUUUUGCAGUAUUUGAGAAACAGGCCAAACUACUCCCUCCAUCCCGGUGUAUAAGUCAUCUUAGGUUGCGCACCGUGAUCAGGAGAGAGAGAGGAAUACAAGAGAAAUCAAUGCUAAUUUGCUAAUUAAUACUAUUGCAUGCAAUGAAUUAAUCACUGCAUGUCUAGUUAGUCUUAAGUCAUUAAAAACAUACACGUCACACGUCUCUUAUUGGUAUGUUAUAAGGUUUUAAUAAUGGUUAUAGAUAAUGUAGCUCCAAAUUAGCCUUUUUUCUUGCGAGUGAAUUCCAAACCAGGCAAAACAUUGCUCGCGUCGCUCUCCACGCGUCCGUCCUCCACUUAGCCCCCGCCCCUUCGCCGCCGUUGGGCAAAGCCAGUGGCGGCGGGCC
rnacentral:lncRNA from 1 species